UACGUAGGGACCAAGCGUUGUUCGGAUUUACUGGGCGUAAAGGGCGCGUAGGCGGCGUGACAAGUCACUUGUGAAAUCUCUGGGCUUAACCCAGAACGGCCAAGUGAAACUGUUGUGCUAGAGUGCAGAAGGGGCAAUCGGAACUCUCGGUGUAGCGGUGAAAUGCGUAGAUAUCGAGAGGAACACCAGAGGUGAAGACGGGUUGCUGGGCUGACACUGACGCUGAGGCGCGAAAGCCAGGGGAGCAAACGGG
rnacentral:rRNA from 1 species